rnacentral:rRNA from 1 species
UACGUAGGGGGCAAGCGUUGUCCGGAAUCAUUGGGCGUAAAGAGCGUGUAGGCGGCUUGGUAAGUCCGCUGUGAAAGUCCAGGGCUCAACCCUGGAAUGCCGGUGGAAACUGUCGGACUAGAGUCCGGAAGAGGCGAGUGGAAUUCCCGGUGUAGCGGUGAAAUGCGCAGAUAUCGGGAGGAACACCAAUGGCGAAGGCAGCUCGCUGGGACGGUACUGACGCUGAGGCGCGAAAGCGUGGGUAGCAAACAGG